AUAUAUAUAUUUUUAAAUUUUUAUGUUCUUUGAUUUUUGUUACUAUUUUUAUGCAUUUUUUUGAUUAGUUUUUUUUCCUCUUUGUAUUUCUUCCUGUUAAUGGUGAAUAAACUGAAAGUUGAUUUUUUGAAAUUUUGAUAUUGCAGAUUUAAAAUGCUCGAUUUGCCUAGAGUUCAGGUGGCAAGAAAGCUUUGAUUUUGAUGCCCAGAGUUAGAAAGCCUAAUUAUACCUUUGUAGAGAUACUGCUCUUCGUUUCCUGUUGCAAUACUUACCAGAAUAUGCAAAUCCAAGGUUAUUCUUCUGUGCUCAACAGAGGUUGUGCUGCAGCGAAGUUUAGCCCUUUUAUGUUACGGGAUUUGCUUGCCUGAAGUGUAGUGAAUUUGGGCAAUCCCUGAUAAGUCACCAAAGACUGAUGCAAUGAACAUACAAUCACUCUGCCAAACUGCCAGAGAAUAGUUACUCAUGAUUGCUGAGAAUGUUGAAGUGCAGGAUCAUGUGGUAGAGCAGCUAAGAAGGAGGAAUCUGUUGUGCUGUGUUAGGCAUUCAUGUAGUCUGAUUAGGAGUGCGACUCAAUGUUAAAUUGAUUAUUGCAAUUUUUUAAUCUGUUUAGUCUUUUUCUAGAGAACAGUUUAGUAGAUGUUUUUAGUUAAUGUGUAGAUAUCAUUCUUAUAAAGAAUUCAACCACAAAUAUUUUGUAGUAGUUAGGUUGUUGAUUAAUA